GAGCAGACAGGCCGGUUCCUCAAAGCCCUUAGCUCGAAAACCGUCCAGCUUCUAUCGCAGGACAGUGUUACCACGGAGACCAUGUUUGCAGAACGCUGGCGAUAGAUAGCAGCGGUGUCUAUCUAAUAAUCAUUUGCCAUUACCUGCGCGGGAUGUUUCGAUUAUGCUGUAAACAGCGUGGCUGGCUGUAGUCGAUAGGAGCUACAGAGGGAGGAAUAAAGUAAAGAAGAUCCAGACUCAAUUGUCGCACCUGGCAGGAUAUCCAUGGUGGAAUGAGGUAAGCUUUAUUUCUCUUUAUGUCUAUUUUGGCUACUUCAAAAACUAUCUACAAUAAAUUCAAGUCAAGUUAGUUUUUCCAUCAUAUACACAUGAUAUAUUGUAAGCCUACAUGGAGUACACAGUUCACAGUUCACACAGUUCACCUCUCGACAAUGCAACAUCAAGAGACAAAAUAAGUAAGUGAACGCAAAGGGCAGUAAAAAUAAAAACUCAAUUAAGUAAAAAAUAGAAUAGUAUUUUAGCAAAAAUAUAAUACAGAAGGCACUCAAACUAAUUGAAGUUGGAUAUUUACAAGACUGGGAAAUUGUGCAAUAGAUACGCAAUACCAAUAAUAAAUAAAUAAAUGUGCAGUAAUAAUAAAUAGUAUUCCAGUAGCAGCAGUCAUGAUGUGUGUGUGUGUGUGCGUGUGCGUGUGUGUGCACGUGUGAGUAGCCGUGGGAAGUAGUUUGGGGGAGAGGGUGCUAUAUUUUUUUAAAUAUAUUUUUUCAUCUUUAAUUUGUUCUAUUCUGAUUUUUUAAGGGGGCACCCUCAGCACCCAUACUUCCCACAGCUAUGUACAAUAUCAGUCAACAGUUUGGACACACUUACUCAUUCAAGGGUUUUUCUUUAUUUUUUAAAACUAUUUUCUACAUUGUAGAAUAAUAGUGAAGACAUCAAAGCUAUGAAAUAACACACAUGGAAUCAUGUAGUAAACAAAAAAGUGUUAAACAAAUCAAAAUAUAUUUUUUAUUUCAGAUUCUUCAAAGUAGCGACCGUUUGCUUUGAUGACAGCUUUGCAUACUCUUGGCAUUAUCUCAACCAGCUUCAUGAGGUAAUCACCUGGAAUGCAUUUCAAUUAACAGGUGUGCCUUGUUAAAAGUUCAUUUGUGGAAUGUUUUCCUUCUUAAUGCGUUGGAGCCAAUCAGUUGUGUUGUGACAAGGUAGGGUUUGAAUACAGAUGAUAACCCUAUUUGGUAAAAGACCAAAUCCAUAUUAUGUCAAGAACAGCUCUAAUAAGCAAAGAGAAAUAACAGUCCAUCGUUACUUAAAGACAUGAAGGUCAGUCAAUGCAGAACAUUUCAAGAACUUUGAAAGUUGCUUCAAGUGCAGUCGCAAAAGCCAUCAAACACUUUGAUGAAACUGGCUCUCAUGAGGACCGCCACAGGAAAAGAAGAUCCAGAGUUACCUCGGCUGCAGUUCAUUAGUUACCAGCCUCAGAAAUUGCAACCCAAAUAAAAGCUUCACAGAGCUCAAAUAACAGACACAUCUCAACAUCAACUUUUCAGAGGAGACUGCAUGAAUCAGGCCUUCAUGGUCAAAUUGCUGCAAAGAAGCCACUACUUAAGGACACCGAUAAUAAGAAGAGACUUGAUUGGUCCAAGAAACACGAGCAAUAGACAGUAGACCAGUGGAAAUCUGUACCUUGGUAUGAUGAGUCCAAAUUUGAGAUUUAUGGUUCCAGGUCUUUGUGAGAUGCAGAGUAGGUGAACGAAUGAUCUCCACAUGUGUGGUUCCUACAGUGAAGCAUGGAGGAGAAGGUGUGAUGUGUGGGGGUGCUUUGAUGGUGACUCUGUCAGUGGCUUAUUCAGAAUUCAAGGCACACUUAACCUGCAUGGCUACCACAUCAUUCUGCAGCGAUAUGCCAUCCCAUCCGGGUUGUGCUUAGUGGGACGAUCAUUUGAUUUUCAACAGGACAAUGACCCUAAACACACCUCCAGGCUGUGUAAGGGUUAUUUUACCAAUCACCCUACCUCAACCCAAUUGAGAUAGUUUGGGAUGAGUUGGACCGCAAAGUGAAGGAAAAGCAGCCAACAAGUGCUCAGCAUAUGUGGAAACUCCUUCAAGACUGCUGGAAAAGCAUUUCAGGUGACUACCUCAUGAAGCUGGUUGAGAGAAUGCCAAGACAAGAGUGUUCAAAGCUGUCAUCAAGGCAAAGGGUGGCUACUUUGAAGAAUCUCAAAUAUUAGAUAUAUGUGACUUGAUUCAGGAAACUAGGCGUAUGUUGCAAGUCACGACUUCACAGGAGAGCCUUUUGAACGUUUUUUUUAUUUUUAUUUUUUUUAUCAAAAUGCAGAAAUGCCUUCUCGAACAUGUGAACUUUCAUGUGCCUUAAUUUCAAACUUCUAUGUCAUCUGUAAAUACGAAUAAAAUUGUUAAGUUACGAGCCUAGUUGGUUUAGCCACAGAAAAAGAGGGCAACCUUCCCGCUAGACAUGAUUGGCUGAGAUAAUGAGUGGGCUGGACAUGCCAAGAGAUGAGUUUGGAUUGGUCUACGGUGUUGCAUCUUGUGUCUAUGAAAUGAUCUGCUUGUAAUGCGUAGAUAAUCCUUUCUACAGUUUUUUCGAAUGAUAUUAUGCUAGCCAUGGAGAACUGCAAAUAUGUUGCUACUGCUCUUAAUAAAGAAUUUAUCAGGUGCUAUCGACUAAGGUCAGUGGGGAAAAGUUGUGGUGGACUACUUUCUGGAUGACGAUGCAAUGCUGACUCUCUCUCACUCUGAAAAUAACACAUUUUGAAAUCAGUGGAGCACAACGGGCCAAACAAGCUGUGCAAACUAGAUAGAAGUUCGAUGGAUGGCUUGCUAACUAACAAUGAACCUAACAUUAUUUGGUAAAAUUUUGCUUGCCAUGACAAUCGGUUUGUAUUGCUAGUAACGUUACUUUAUGCAUUGGGAAUAUCGUACAUUUUUUAGCUAGCUAGCUAACGUUAACGUGACAUGUCUAAAAAAAGAAGCCCAAGUUAAAGCUUGCUGUUAGCCAGCUAAUGUUAGCUGAGGUUAGGUGGCUGGCUUGCUAGCUAACAUUAAUUUAUGUGUAUGAAGUGUGUGUAAUGUCAGUGAUGUUUUCUCAGAAUGCCAUUUCGCAUUUCUAGUUAUAGCAUAAUGUUAGCUCGCUAACAUUGAACUUAUAUUGAUGAACUUUGGCUAGCUAUGACAAUCGGUUUGUAUUGCUAUUUAAAGCUGGUUGUUAGCUAGCCAGCUGACGUUGGAUGGCUGGCUAGUUACAAUAGCAUAACAUUACUGUGUGUAGUGAUGUUAUCUCAGAAUGCCAUUUCGCAUCUCUUGUAUAAUAAUGCUAAAAUGUUUGUAUCUGGAAUUCAACAUUAAUCAGUAGAACACGCCUGACUCUAAUCCACCAGUCAUACAGUCAUCAAAAGAGAGUUGGCCCAAGCAGUGCAGUCAUCAACUAUAUGCAUCGUUUCUUCACCAACUAUGGAGUUGGGAAAACCCAUGUGGACCUGAAUUGUGAUAACUGCAGUGAUCAAAACAAGAACAAGUUUGUGCUCUGGUAUCAUGCCUGGUGGACCAUGCACAAGCUCCACCACAAUCUGGACCUUCAUUUCCUGAUCACAGGCCGCAGCAGAUUUGCCACUGACUGGUGCUUCGGCCUCAUCAAGCUCAGUUGUCCUGAGUCUGCACAACUCUGCCAGGACCUAGGAUCAAGAGAGACAGUCAAGUGUUUUAGUACUACAUCUCUUGACACAAUGAUGAAAAUAAUCAUGGCCUCUAAACCUUCAAGCUGCAUACUGGACCCUAUUCCAACUAAACUACUGAAAGAGCUGCUUCCUGUGCUUGGCCCUCCUAUGUUGAACAUAAUAAACGGCUCUCUAUCCACCGGAUGUGUACCAAACUCACUAAAAGUGGCAGUAAUAAAGCCUCUCUUGAAAAAGCCAAACCUUGACCCAGAAAAUAUAAAAAACUAUCGGCCUAUAUCGAAUCUUCCAUUCCUCUCAAUUUUUUUUGAAAAUGCUGUUGCGCAGCAACUCGCUGCCUUCCUGAAGACAAACAAUGUAUACGAAAUGCUUCAGUCUGGUUUCAGACCCCAUCAUAGCACUAAGACUGCACUUGUGAAGGUGGUAAAUUACCUUUUAAUGGCAUCAGACCGAGGCUCUGCAUCUGUCCUCGUGCUCCUAGACCUUAGUGCUGCUUUUGAUACCAACGAUCACUACAUUCUUUUGGAGAGAUUGGAAACCCAAUUUGGUCUACUCGGACAAGUUCUGGCCUGGUUUAGAGCUUAUCUGUCGGAAAGAUAUCAGUUUGUCUCUGUGAAUGGUUUGUCCUCUGACAAAUCAACUGUACAUUUCGGUGUUCCUCAAGGUUCCGUUUUAGGGCCGCUAUUGUUUUCACUAUAUAUUUUACCUCUUGGGGAUGUCAUUUGAAAACAUAAAUGUUAACUUUCACUGCUAUGCGGAUGACACACAGCUAUACAUUUCAAUGAAACAUGGUGAAGCCCCAAAAUGGCCCUCGCUAGAAGCCUGUUUUUCAGACAUAAGGAAGUGGAUGGCUGCAAACGUUCUACUUCUAAACUCUGACAAAACAGAGAUGCUUGUUCUAGGUCCCAAGAAACAAAGAGAUCUUCUGUUGAAUCUGACAAUUAAUCUUAAUGGUUGUACAGCCGUCUCAAAGAAAACUGUGAAGGACCUCGGCAUUACUCUGGACCCCGAUCUCUCUUUUGACGAACAUAUCAAGACUGUUUCAAGGACAGCUUUUUCCCAUCUACGUAACAUUGCAAAUAUCAGAAACUUUCUGUCCAAAAAUGAUGCAGAAAAAUUCAUCCAUGCUUUUGUUACUUCUAGGUUAGACUACUGCAAUGCUCUACUUUCCGGCUACCCGGAUAAAGCACUAAAUAAACUUCAAUUAGUGCUAAAUACAGCUGCUAGAAUCCUGACUAGAACCCAAAAAAUUGAUUAUAUUACUCCAGUGCUAGCCUCCCUACACUGGCUUCCUGAUAAGGCAAGGGCUGAUUUCAAGGUUCUACUGCUAACCUACAAAGCAUUACAUGGUCUUGCUCCUACCUAUCUCUCUGAUUUGAUCCUGCCGUACAUACCUACACGUAAGCUACGGUCACAAGACGCAGGCCUCCUAAUUGUCCCUAGAAUUUCUAAGCAAACAGCUGGAGGCAGGGCUUUCUCCUAUAGAGCUCCAUUUUUAUGGAAUGGUCUGCCUCCCCAUAUGAGAGACACAGACUCGGUCUCAACCUUUAAGUCUUUACUGAAGACUCAUCUCUUCAGUGGGUCAUAUGAUUGAGUGUAGUCUGGCCCAGGAGUGUGAAGUUGAACGGAAAGGCUCUGGAGCAACGAACCGCCCUUGCUGUCUCUGCCUGGCUGGUUCCCCUCUAUCCACUGGGAUUCUUUGCUCUUUCAUGCCGUCCCUAGGAGGGGUGCGUCACUUGAGUGGGUUGAGUCAAUGAUGUGAUCUUCCUGUCUGGGUUGGCCCCCCCCCUUGGGGUGUGCCGUGGCGGAGAUCUUUGUGGGCUAUACUCUGCCUUGUUUCAGGAUGGUAAGUUGGUGGUUGAAGAUAUCCCUCUAGUGGUGUGGGGUCUGUGCUUUGGCAAAGUGGGUGGGGUUAUAUCCUUCCUGUUUGGCCCUGUCUGGGGGUAUCAUCGGAUGGGGCCACAGUGUCUCCUGACCCCUCCUGUCUCAGCCUCCAGUAUUUAUGCUGCAGUAGUUUAUGUGUCGGGGGCUAGGGUCAGUUUGUUAUAUCUGGAGUACUUCUCCUGUCUUAUCCGGUGUCCUGUGUGAAUUUUUAGUAUGGUCUCUUUAAUUCUCUCUUUCUCUCUUUCAUUCUCUCUCUCGGAGGACCUGAGGCCUAGGACCAUGCCUCAGGACUACCUGGCAUGAUGACUCCUUGCUGUCCCCAGUCCACCUGGCCGUGCUGCUGCUCCAGUUUCAACUGUUCUGCCUGCGGCUAUGGAAUCCUGACCUGCUUACCGGAAGUGCUACCUGUCCCAGACCUGCUGUUUUCAACUCUCUAGAGACAGCAGAAGUGGUAGAGAUACUCUUAAUGAUCGGCUAUGAAAAGCCAACUGACAUUUACUCCUGAGGUGCUGACUUUCAGCAUCUUCGACAACUACUGUGAUUAUUAUUAUUUGACCAUGCUGGUCAUUUAUGAACAUUUGAACAUCUUGGCCAUGUUCUGUUAUAAUCUCCACCCGGCACAGCCAGAAGAGGACUGGCCACCCCUCAUAGCCUGGUUCCUCUCUAGGUUUCUUCCUAGGUUUUGGCCUUUCUAAGGAGUUUUUCCUAGCCACUGUGCUUCUACACCUGCAUUGCUUGCUGUUUUGGGUUUUAGGCUGGGUUUCUGUACAGCACUUUGAGAUAUCAGCUAAUGUACGAAGGGCUAUAUGAAUUAAUUUGAUUUGAUUUGAUCAAGCAGCCCUUCAGAAAGACCAGAGUGAACACUUUGUCUGAGAUUGCUGGUGUUGUGAAAGACAGCACUGUGACAGGAUUUUUACAUUUGAACCUUUAUUUAACUAGGCAAGUCAGUUAAGAACAAAUUCUUAUUUACAAUGAAGGCCUAAGAACAGUGGGUUAGCUGCUUUGUUCAGGGGCAGACCGACAGAUUUUUACCUUGUCAGCUCGAGGAUUCGAUCUAGCAACCUUUCGGUUACUGGCCCAACGCUAAAACCACUAGGCUACCUGCUGCUCCUAGGAUGGUACGGUGCUGGUGGAACGCUAUGGCUGACAACAACACUUGACUCUGUACUUCAGGCUGCUGCCAGCACUUCAGCUUUGAUGCUCUGGAGUCUGGUGUUGUCACCGAGGAGCAUUCAGACUGUCUGGACCAGGAUUCAGCUGCUGCCCAACGCUGACAUCCUUCCUCCCAUAGAUGUUCUACCUGUAAAAGCACCACCUGGACUGGACACAACUAGACAAACUAUCUUUUUAACAAGAUCAGGGAGUUUUGCGACAAAGAGGCUAUGGACAUCACAUGAACUGCACUGUAAGUCAAUGACAGGACAGAAACAGGCUCCCCGAAUAUAGAUUCCCUUGUUCAUGUGUGGUUUGGACGGACCAGUCAUCAGCACUAUCUGCAGUGCCUCUAUUGACAUGACUCUCUCCUAACACACACCAUACGUUGCUGCAACUUUUUUUUAAAUAUCCUGCUGUUCAGCCACUUUACCCCUGAUUGUAUGCAAAAACUACCUCGUCUAUCACUGAUAUCGUUAUUGAUAUUGUUCUUGUUUAUAUUUAAUUUAUGUUGACACUAUCUAUUUCUGAUAUUGCUACCAUUUGGCUGUACUGUUUACACCUUCUGUAGAGACCAUCCACUUUUGUGACAUACCACAACAAUAUCAUGUGACCGUAUCAAGUGUCCUCCACUUAAAUAUAUGGCGCCAUGCAUCUGUUUAUGUACUGUACAUGUGCACCUCACUCAGGUUUCAACUCAGGUUGCAUGGCCUACUAUGUGAUAAGUGCAUGUGUAACAGUAUAUAAAGUAUGCUAAUGUAUUUGGGCAGUGGUGUAACAGUACUUUAAAGUACUACUUUUUAUGGUCUCUGUACAUUACUUUACUAUUUAUAUUUUUUAUCACUUUUACUUCACUACAGUCGUAUAGAAACAAAUGUGCUUUUAAGUCCAUACAUUUUACUUGACACCCAAAAGUACUCUUUACAUUUUGACAGGAAAAUUGUCCAAUUCAAACACUUAUCAAGAGAACAUCCCUGGUCAUCCAUACUGCCUCUGAUCUGGCAGACUCACUAAACACAAAUGCUUUGUUUGUAAAUGAUGUCUGAGUGUGCCCCUGGCUAUCCAUCCAUUAAAAAAACAAUAACAUUG